AUUGAAAGUCAUUUGGUUCUCUAAUUACUAAAUCAGACUCCAAAUUGUGCUCCAUGGGGCUGAGGCAAGAAGUUGUCAAGCUAUUUGGCCUUGGAAUUCAGUCAUCGAGAGAGCUGCCAACUGAGCUCCGCCUUCAACAGGAGAGUGAGUUUGCUUCACUCUUCUCUGACCUCCAGCACAGAAGAUAUUUAAGUGUUUACUGAAAGGUUCCUUGCCAUGAGAUUUGAAGAAUAAAAAGAAGCUUUAAAGCACGCUGUUGGUUCUCAAGGACCUUUCAGUCUCGGUAGACGGACAAGGUUUCUUCGUAUAACAUACAAGAAUUACAGAAUUCCAAAAGGCAGAAGAACUGACCUGCAGCUCCAGAUGUCAGGAGCAAACAUGUGAAGCUAAAUUCAUCAGGAACUUCGGAGUGUUGAAAGUGCUAUCAGGAUGAAAACCGCCACCAGCUGCUGCUAAGAAGCUGUCAUCAGUCAGCAUCUUGGGACACUUCCAAACCUAACUUGCUGGGCAGUCCAAAGCAAUGGGUGUUCUGUUUAUGCUAUAAUUCUUAAGAGUUGAGAAAGUAGCAAUUAGUGGGAAAACUAUAGCUGAUGUUUGUACUGGAAGAAGUCCAGUGGGGUAUCUUGUCGAGAUAGCAGUUAUUUUUUUAAUAUUUGAAGGCUCAGUCCUGCUAGAGUUUGUUGUUGGGGCCCAAGAUCAUCAGCAGAAUGACAGAGCAGUUCCAUCUAUUCUAUUCCCUGUAAAUUCGUCGUCCUUAUUUGAUCUAUUUAAUAUAGACUUGUGUGGGGCCUACAUCACCGGCUUUGGGAUAAUUUUUGGAAUUAUCAGCACUGUCCUUUGAUAGUAACACUAUUGAUGCCAGAGCACUCUGCAGUUUGCCGGAAGGAAACAACAGAAGGUGCUGAAGAUUUUUACUGACAAUACAAAUUGGAGACUUAUCUGAAUUCUCCUACCAGAACAGAGACCUCUCAAAGGAUGCAAGGAAACUAAAAAUGAAACAAAAGAAUGCUUACACAUCUUCAAAGUUUCGACUCUGUAAUCAAUUUGGAUUCAUGAAAUGUAUUCCUAUACCUUCAAGAGAAACUCUUCCCUAACUCAGGAGGUCUUUGGCAGCCUGGACUAUGCCUUGCCCACCCUGAUGACUGUAUCUCUCUCUAGGUGGGCUUGUGCUGGGUAAUUGGCUUGCCUGCUUCCUUGUACUUUAAGAUGUUUGUCGGGCUGGUACUUUUCUCUUUGUACUGCAAGUAAAAAACCCAUAGGGCCCAAUUACUGGAGAUGCCUCUUUUCUCUAAUAGCAACAUCAGUGCCCAGAUCCUGGUUUCUUAAUACCAAGAAUGGGACUUCUGUUUAUUUUUAUUUGCUUCUAAGAUGAAUCCUUUAAAACUGAGGAACUGCAGUUCCUUCGGAAAAUAUGUCACUGUUGCCUACUGCCAUGAAAACAAUGAAAUAAAAGGGAAGCUAAGCUCUAAGUGGGUUUUGCUUUUUUAUUAAACAAUGAAUAUGACCUCAAAUAAUUUAUCCUGCAUUAUUUUAGUCAUAGUAAGUAAUAGCAUUUCCCCGACUUUGCAAGUUGAAGAUGUGAUUCUAUUACGCAUCUCAUCAUUGAAGAUCAUUAUUCUACUCAGUGAUGAUUCAGAUGCCACAGUAGAAAAGAAUUCUUAGAGCACAACUGUUAAUGAAGAUAAAAGCUAUUAGCUAAAAAUGAAAUUAGUUGGAAAAUUUUCAGCUCCAUGUUACUUCAUCUCCUGGUAUUUGUCUUAACCCAUUUUGAAAGUCUAACCAGGGACUCCUGUGUGGCUCAGCAGUCGAGAGUCUGCCUUUGGCUCAGGGUGUGAUCCCAGAAUCCGGGGAUUGAGUCCCACAUCAGGGACUGAGUCCCACAUCAGGCUCCCUUCAGGGAGCCUGCUUCUCCCUCUGCCUGUGUCUCUGCCUCUCUCUCUGUGUCUCUUAUGAAUAAGUAAAUAAAAUCUUAAAAAAAAAAAAGUCUAA